rnacentral:tRNA from 1 species
UUUGUAGCUCAGUUGGAUAGAGCACUGGCUUCCGAAGCCAGGUGUCGCGGGUUCGAGUCCCACCAGAC